GAGGCCUAUAUCCAUCCCAGGGUUACUAUAACUCGUCUGGAGAGAGGGGGAAGGAGUAGAUGCCAGCGGUAUGUGGGUGAUGCAGACAAGCUCAACACUAAACUUUCCAGAAGCAUAAAUGUUCCCGGCACGUUUUGAGUCAGUCAAGCAGCCAAAACCAUCCAGUCCCAGCAGGCCUAUCAGCGUCUGGGAUCUGGCUUUACAGAUCCUCCUGCAGGAGAAGGGACACAAUGACCCAUAUAAACCUGCCGUGUAGAUUACACUCAGGCUACUGGGAGAUGUUUGCAUCAUCGCUCUUUUCAAACUCCAGUUUUAGAGAUGCCAUCUUCACUGAUAACCCGUCAGAGAGGAAAAACUCCAUCAGACAACUUCCUGUCUGCCUUUUCCAACAAGAGGAGGAGCCAUGAUGCAUACUGUGGGUGUGUGGCUUAUCCAGCCAGAGUAAAAUACGUCUGAUCAACUGUUUCAUGCCCGGACAGUUUAAUCAGAAGAGGAGCCCUGGGGGCAGGUGCAGCGUCUUGUUCCAGGUGGGAUGAGGAUUUGCUCGAGCGGGGAAAAAAAACAAAAAAAAACAGAGCAGCCCUAUUAAUUAUUAAAGACAAUUCGAGAGGAGCAGGAAGGCGUUGAUGUGGGUAAUGAUUUAUAGUAGAUGUGAUAAAUAGAUGUGCAAAUGUGUCAAAACAUUCCAAUUAAAGUAUACUGACACACAACUACCUUUUACCAUUAGAGACUAAUUUAAAAGCACAAAACCUCGUAGCCUUGACGAGACUUAAUUCACACAAAACAAACUGAGGUCAAAAGAAUUUAUGAACCACAGAGGGUCAUGUUUUUUUCUAGCAUAGACGGAUGCUAUUGGAGAUACUAUCAUUGCUGUUUCUGAGUAAGGUGUCUACAUCUGUGGUCAAAUUACACCUUUACCUGGAUUUUAUGAGGCUCCACUGCAUAUUUAGGGAUAAUAAAACUUAAACAUCUCACUACACUAGACUCCUUUGUUACAAAAAACCUCAAUUCAUCAGUGUUGUCAGGCCCUAGAGGCAUGUACUAACCGGACAAACACCCCCACCAAUGUUACCUCCAUAUAAGGGUGCUGUACACGCGUCAUUGCCUAACACAGCUAACCCCAGAAUUGCCCAAUACCUGCACAAACAGAAAGAAGUAGAGGAUAGAACACAUUUUGUACUGUCUGUACAUUCAGUCUGCUGUUGAGUUUCUCUUGCUGAAUGAGUAAAAUUUGUUCUUCUUUUGGGUUUCGUGCCCACAGAGUUGAUGUCAUUGGGCUCUGAGCUCUGCCAGUAUGCAGCAGAAAAUUACAGGGCAUCACCAGCAACAUGGAUACACUGCAAGUACAAACAACAAACAACAUUCACUCUGUACCCAUUGCUGUUUGUUGACAAUGGAACAUUUUAUAUUUAUUUCUCAAAACAGACACAACAAUAAACAAAAUGAGUGGCUGUGAUUGGUAUAAAAUAUUUUGCAAUGAUAGUUAAAUUAAGAAACAGUUUUUAUGUUUCACAGGUUAUAAAAACAGUGGUGACCAAAAAUGCUGGAAACUAUUCUUGGUUGUAAUGUCCUCCAAGUGCUAUAAAUAGCAGCCUGAGUAUGUCAUGACACAUGGAAAGUAACAAACAGAGUGUUAAUCGGAUGACAGAGAUAUGUGUCAGUUUCCUUUAGUUCGUGAACAGCAGCGCUGUGCUGCAGCAUGGCUUAUAAUUCAAACAUCUGGAUUUAGUUUGGGCUCAAUUUUCUCUCAUAGAGUCAUAUUUUAGUGUUAUUAUCUAUCAGCUUUGCUUCAUCUGUUGCCUGAUUCAGUUUGGUUUUGUUUGCAACAUUUCUUGCUGCUGUGUUGGCCUGCUCUCCUCCCUUAAUGAUUCUCACCUGCUUAAACAUUAAAGGGGUUAUUUCUAAGUUUUGUCUGCCACCAAACAUAUAUUUUUUCCAGGAGCAGAUGGAGGCGAUGGUCCCUUGCUGCGAGUUUGUUGGGCUAUUGUUGGGCUACGGGCUAGCUGUCUAGCAUGCUAACUUCAGUAGAAGGAAAGAAGAGAUAGAACUAGGAGCAAAAUACUGGCGUCGUUUUCCACCACUGGAAACAGUUCUUGGCAAGUAAAGGAAUGAAGUUUGAAGAUGAACUCGCAGAAUUUCUUCUAUACUGCUAAGUAAACAGCUAUGAAAGCUAACACUGGCUAUGUAGCGAUAGCAAAACUUACAUAAAACUCCUCUGAAUAAUUAGCAACUAGAAUUACCUUAGCCAACCAGUCCAGUUGCAGUUAAUUAGCAUGUCUUGUGUGGUCACAGCGACCUUUGACCUUUGACCACCAAAUCAUAAUCAGUUCAUCCUUCAUUCGUCCAAAUGAACGUUUGUGCCAAAUCUGAAAGUAUUUCCUCAAGCUGUUUUUGAGAUAUCACAUUCACAAGAAUGGGACAGAUGAACGGACAGAUGGACCAAUGACCCAAAAACACAAUGCCUCCGGCCGAGGCUGUCACCAGCGCCAAGGCAUAAAAACCUAAAUCCAAACUACAUCUAUAAUACUCUUAGGUAUCACAACUAUUUUUGUUUGCUGGGUAGAUGGAAAGUUUUCCAUCCUACUUUGUAGGGCAGUAUUAGUUCUUAGGGCAAUCCUUUACCAUCAGUUCAUGAUAUGAGCAACACUUAAUGGAGUACUACAACUGAAAGGCUAUGGAUAAUCCUGUUGUUGGUAUAAUGUUACUUCACAGAUUAUCUAUUAUAUACAGUUGGUUGCUUGGUUGCAAAAAAUGCUACAAGAAACAGCUGCGCUUGUAAUUCGUUAUCCGUACAUUCACCAUUGGUAGUCGAGGCUGAUAAGGUCCAAUCAGGAAUCGAACAUGGGUGUCCCAUCCAGACUAAAAUGCAACCCUGGAGUUUUCAAUCUAAAAUGGGGCCAGCAGUGUCUCUAAAAGUCUCCAUUUUAGGGGCUUGAAAACUUGGGGUUAGUAUGGACAGCAGACGUAAAUACAGCGAGAGUGGCUAAAACGUAUUAGUGUGGAUGUAGCCCAAGGUUCUUUAAAUUGUAGUGACACGAUGUGACCAAAACUUUUUUAGACGCACAGCAUAUACAGGCCUUUAAACGACUUAUAAUAAACUAGUUUUCAAAUUAUUUUAGAUGAUUAGAAGAUUUGUUGUUUUUUUGACCUGAAGCAGAUGAUCCCAUUUAAUCCUGUGUUUACAAAACAUCUGCUAUCUGCUCUCCUAAGCUGCAGAACAUUUCACAGUGUCUAAACUGCACAAUCACCCAUUCAUUGUCUGACAACAGGAUCUUUGUGGUUUUCAUGCUCUCACUGCUCUUUGUGUUUUCAGCCUCUCUCUCGUUGCUUCUAAUAUUUAACGAGGGAUCGGAUGUUCGACAGAUGCCCCCCCUCUCACUUUGCUCUUUAUUUGUAUGCAUGUGGUGGUAGCUGAGGUGGGUGGUUGGGGUCAUUAUGUAUCUUGGCUGAGCGACUUGAUGGGUCACAGUUCAGCGGUGGAGCUUCAAAUGAGGAGGAAGGGAGGCCUGGCAAGGACGGCUGCUUCCUCCAUCUGUAUUACCUGUGUCUCUGGUGGCUGCUCUCUCACUUACAGACCCGAGUCGGCGUCUUUCAUCAAAGACCACAGAGUACUGACGGAUACUUCAGCCCGAACUUAAUGGGAUCGAGGUACACAGUACUACAUUUUCCCAGUCUCCCUCAGAGAGUAUUAGAAACACUGGACCUGGUUGGACAAGAGGCAGCAUACCAGGGGCUAAAAAACUGGGUUGGAAAAUAGAUUUUUGCGUGUACAUGUGUGCGAGAAUAGAGACAUUCCUCGGCAUAAAACGUCCCACUUCGCCAUCUGAUAUGUUUAGCAGAGUUGCCCCAUCUCAAAGCCCCCAGAAUGCCGAGUAUUUUCUUGAUCUGGGCUGAGCUCAAGGGGAAGGCAUGCGGGCCCGAUCCCAGGGUCACCACGCUUAAAAGCUGAUGUGGACAGAAGCCAGUCGAAUGAAGACACUGCCGCAAAAAAGAGAGACUGACUACAGUUUGUGUGUCCUCUCGUUUGUUCUCAUAUUUUGGUCUUUAAACCUCUUCACAGAGCGAGACCUCAGCUGGUGGGACUCGCUCCAUGAGGCUCCGUGGAAGCAGCUCAUCUUUUUCCUGCAGGGUUAUAGAAAGGGAAACAGGAACAGCUGCCAGAUAAAAGCUGGAGGUGGGUUUGGAGAAAACAAAAACAAAAAACACAUUUAACACUUGCAGAUGCUAAAAUCUGACGAAUACAUUGGGCACUAAUCAAUGAUAUUUGACAAUGACCUAUUUUAUUUUUUUAGUUAAUGCUCUGAUUUGUAGUUUCAGUAUUAUUGGAGGUAUUGGCUGUGUGGUAUAAGCCUUUUACUGCAUGUUUGUCAGCUUUUAUUGUCCCACAAAAACUUCUAUUGUGUGGUAACACACUAUUAUUCUGUCCAGUGUGUAUUAUCUGUAUUUGCAGCAUGACUUUAUCUUGCAUAUGUGCCAUCAAAUUUGAGAAUAUGUUUCUUAAUUUGCUUGUUUUUUAGUAAGCUGAAACUUCCUUUUUUUUUUUUGUAAAUAUGUUGUGAAAGUGUUUGGCUUGAGUUUUGUCUUUUUACAUGUGUUUUGGGUGCUUUAAACUUUAUUUGGCUGCCAAAAGAAAACAACAACAAAAGAAAAACAACCUCCAACCAUUGGCUAUGAGUUAAAACAAAAGGAAAAAAUGCCCACAAGAACCUGAAACUUGGAGUUACCAGGUUUAACACGGGAACGGCAGCAUGUUUAAUAGAACACCAGUACAGUAACUACCUGCCCAGAUGCCCAUAAUAACAGGGUUCCCAUCGUAAAUCGCCCCCCUCCUUCCCUGUCCAGAGAAGGAUCCACCCUCCACCAGCCAGGCAGCACAUCUUAGCUCCAUGACACUCCUGAACCCCAAGCCGCAGAGCUUUCACCAGCGAGGCCCCAUGGAAAAAUUAAACUGGACACUGAGAGGAAGCCCAGCUUUGUGGUCAUGGCAGGGGAAUAUGAUUGGAUAAACAUACGGCAAAGCCUCAAACCGGUUCUCUCAGUGCCCGGUGGUGAUGUGACGAGAGGCAGGCAGUGAGGUUUUUAUUUGGUCCGGGGUUUGGUGGGAGGUGGGGGUUGGAUCUGAAGGGCACAUACUGUUCUUGGAAGCUCAGAGUUUUACAGAAGAUUGAAAAGGACAUUUAUUGGUGUAGAGCAGGCCAGGCAGCAGUGACAUCCUCAGUCACUGUUUAUUAAAAACAGACCUAAUUAUCCAGCGUCACUCCGCCUGCCCGAGCUAUUUCAGUCCACAAUGAGCAGGUGACUCAAGUUAGAGCAAACUGGGUCAUGUGCGCCUACGUCAUUUACCUUCUAACCUGAGCGUGCCCUCGCUAGAAAAGCUCUCAUUUUUCAAUUAAAGACAAUCAUUAGUCUGUUAGUUCCUGUCUGAAUCUGUAACCAGCUGUGUUCCUGAGAUCAUCAAUGUGCUGCCCUACUGUGUGUUUGUCUGCUCGGUGCAUUGAAAGACAAACCAUUAAAGGUCUUCAGGGACACGUGCAACACAUCAUGUCCAUCUCAGCUGGAUCCAGACGCUUUGAAGUGGAUUAUGGGUAAAGGCAGCCAAAGAAAAUACAUUUACUGUUUUUUAAAUUCUUGUCUUAGUUGGAUACAAAUAGGGAAUAUACAAAUAGACAUUAAAACAAAUAUAGAAGAUAAAUGAAUAUAUAAGAAAUAACAUUAAAUUAAAAAUAAUAUUAUUCCAGGAGGAAAUUCUUGUGUCAGGCAUAGCUCCAAAAAGUAAAAAAACAGUGCCAAAUGCAACUGAAGUGAAAAACUAUUAUAGACACUAUUAAAUAGACAUAAAAAAAUAUAUAUAAAAGUAGAUCUAUAAAGUAUAUAUACAAUAUAUAAACAAUAGAAAAAACAUACACGUAAAAGAACAUGUAAAGUAACAUUGGCUGUGAAUGAACACAAAGUAAUAUUCCACAUGAAAAUGAAGGAAAAAAUUACAUGAAUCAUAUUAAUUAAGAGUAAAAUUGGACCCAGUAUCAGUAAUGUUGAUAUCAGUUGACCUUUCCUGCAUGAUAUAUAAUAAUACAGAAAGUAGAAAAUCUAAAUUGAAUUUUGUUGUUCAGUGGCCUCCACACUCACCUUUAGGAUCUGGUAGUUUGGCAACAUGAAUAUGUACCUGACAAAUGUGCAGAAAUGAUGUGAUGUAGUCGUGUGAACGUGGACGAGAAUCUCUAAGGAAUGUUUCCAACAUCUUGUGGAAUCAAUGCCACAAAGAAUUGAGGCUGUUUUGAGAGGGAGCCACUAACCCAUAUUAAUAUGGUGUUCCUAAUAAAGUGUCGGUUGCAUUGUUACUGAACAUAGUUUAAGUUGUUCUGUCAGUUUAAGUGUAAGAGGUGAAAUGAACUGUUAAUACGUAUGAUUGUGAUAUAAUUGACAAAGUUAUUGCUGUUAUAGAAGUAGAAGAAGCAGCUUUUAUAGUUAAAACCCACUAUCUCACGAGGCAGACAUGUUUUUGUGGAUGUAAUUUAGAAAAAUUCACUGGAGAAUACUGAAGAAACUUUGCCGUUUUCUAAUUAUUUACUCACGUAUUCCCAAUCUGGAUAUUCAACAAUUUGGAUUGGAACUGUUCUUUUGUCUCCAUCCGUCACAGCAAAAUAAACUCAUCAGUUUCCCAAAAUUACCCAGGGUGCCAAGAAGAACAUUUCUGCUAUCUGUUCUUCAUCAUGUUUUUUUUUUUCCCCCGCUCUCACUCUGUUGGACUCAUUUGCAUGUCAUUAUCCUGCCGUCUGUGACACGAAAUGUGGAAUUAUUUACACUGAAAGGGAAAAGAGAAGCGAAAGUAAUCUGUCUUCCAUGAGAGGGAAUUGAAUUUGAAAUGCAAAUCAUAAAAAUAAUUACAACUUGGGGGGGCGCAGCAACAACUCAUCCCCCUCUGCAUUGCUAAUGGCAUCAUCCACAAUAAAUAUAAUGGGACAUUAUUUUUUAUUUAUCAACAAAAUCUCUGUUUUUGCCUCUGUCUUGUGUUUUUUUUCUUCUCUCCCAGAAAUUAAUUGUUUACCGAGAGAAGGAAAGUUCAUUAACUAGUCAUUAGCCUGCUUUUGUCAAAGUAAACCUUGUAACUGUGUGAGUGUAUUUUAACAGACUGGUGCAAGAAUUAAUUCAAAUUCUCCACACACACUCGUUUCCUCCAGACUUAAUGCUCUCAAGCCAAAACAGAUGCCAGCAUCCCAGUCACUCUAAUCACAAAUAAAUCAGAAAUGCAUAUGGAGACUUGUCAUGGAGUCAAGGAUGAGACAUGAGGAAAGACGAUGUGAUGACAACCAAGCCGUUAUAGUGAAAAUGUAAUCAGGAAAAAGGUAGUUAGUCAUCAAAGGGACGAUUAUUUUACUUUGAUAAUUUACUGUGGUUGGUAUCAACAAGAUGUUAUUCAAAACAUUAAACUACCUUAAGAUUACUUUAUCCUAUUGGGAAAUUAAUGAAAAAGUCUAAAUAUUGUUUAAAGACAUGUUUUGAAUUGUUAUUUCAAGGAUCAUUGUACUCAAAUUAUAAAAAUAGAAAAACAAAAACAAAAGAGAAUCCUCCCACACUUACAGGGUUUUGUCAGUGUUUUGACACGCUUCCGUCAUCUUUGCCUCAGAUUUCGUUAGCAAACUUAAUAACACUGAUAGAAACCUGUCAAUGUGCAAUAAUUUACUUUUGGUUUUGUUGCUGUGUGAGUCAUCUGGCAAACAAGAAGCAAUUCCACUUUCAAUUCUACUGUUAAAAUGAAAAUAAUUUUCUUCUGAGGAAACACUUUUGAUGUUGUGGGAAUCUUCCCAAUUCUGAGCAACACAAACAAAAUUCAGUAACGACAGCAGAUGUGUCAGCAGUGGAUUUCCAGAUACAUUAAACACAUUAAAAUUUAAAUUACUUUAAUGGAUUGUAGAUUUCAGCAUUGUAUCACUAAAUGGUGUAUGAAUAACAUGUCAAUUUCAUGAAUAAUCUGCAUUUUUUACUUUUCACACAGCAUUAAAUAACACAAGGAAUUCAGGCUUGUUGAAUGACAUGAAAACACGUGAAAAUUUGUAGAUGUGACACGCAAAAAUGCCCUGAAAGUAGCGUGCUAUUUAAACACAGUCCCAUGAAGUCACAUUGUAGAUACUGUGAGCGGUUAGAGGAAAACAUGCAACCCUGACUAAAAGUAAUUUUAAAAUAAAGUAAACACAUAUUCACACUGAAAACUUACAGUAAAACCACAGAAUUAUAGAGCAAAUUAAGCAAUAAAUACAGUCUCUCUUGUGGAGAUUAUGUAAAAGUGCUGCUAACAGUUUCAACAUGUUGGACUGUAGAGACACAGCGGAAAGAACUGUAUGACUUAAAUUACAUUUAUAGAUGUUCUCCAAGUUGUUUAUCACAGAUGUCACUUAACGUCUCGACUUUUUAAAACUACUAAUAGAGCCAACAUGUGUGUCAGUGUCUGUGCGACACACCAGCUGAUGACAGAGACGAACCUCUGUCCGUGUUUAGACAGGCCUGUCGGAGAGUCCAGCAGUCGAAGUCUAAUGGCCGGGUUUUUGCUUUUUCAGGUGGAACCACAGACAGUCGCUGAGGUCAGACAGAGACGGCAGCCUCCUGAACCCACGGCUGCUUCCUGUCCUGCCUCUGCUGUCCCACCAGAGCUUAAUAUUAUCAAUACAUCUUCUCAGACACAGCCUUUAAAAUCAAUUCUGACAGUGAGAGCCUCCUCGUGUUUCCCUACAUACAGUUUCUAGGGAGCUGAGAUAAUCCUCUCAGAGCAGCCGCUGUGAUGACACAAGCCCGUGGGUGGUCUUAAUGGUCAACAACCUCUUCGUCUCCACACCCAGAGAAACCAAAGACGAUGUAAAUCAACAGGCAGCUUCGCUUACUCCCAGCCAUUUUGGUCUUUCUUCUUCCCAGGACCAAGAUAUAUUCACUCCUCAGCUGAUCAUUAACAAAUAACUUUGCUGCUAACUACAAGGAACCAAUUCCACCAGCUGUUGUUAAAUAACUCUUUGUAAAUAUGCUGUAACAAGGUUAAAUGAAGAUUUACAAAUCACUGAAUCAAAUCACAGAAAAUGUUUUUUACACAAAAAUUGUUUAGAAUUAUUUCUGUCCUACAACUGCCAUAACUGUUACAUACGUUAGCUAACAGAACCAACUGACAAAGCUAAUGUUAGCUUGCUAAUAACUUGCUAAUGAGUUAAGAGUAAAAGAACGAUGGUAUCUGACGAAUCAAAUGUGACACAGGAUGAAAUUUAUGUUCAAUAACAAUGUGAACCUGGAUGUUUUUAAAUUACAAUUCAGAAAAUAGUGCAAUAGUUACAAAACAUUAUACAGAAAUGUUAGCUUAAAUCUAGGCUAACAUUCAACAUUUGAAGACGUCACCUUAGGUUGAAAAACUGUGAUGGAUAUUUUUCAUUAUUUUCUGUCUAUUUAAAUAUAACAUGAUAAAAUAAGAAAAUAAUGGCAGAUUAACUAAUAAUUUAAAUAAUAUGCAGCCUUACAAAGUUUAUUGCUUUAGUUGGAUGGUGCUACAGAUGUCGUAAUGGUGCAACCUGAUUUAGUAGGAUGGAAAUUAAUUAGAAGUUAAUACAAAUUAAGAAAUUACUCAACACACAAACUUAGUUUUGGAUAAUGAAAAGCCGGUGCAGCCCAAUUCGGGUGUGUUGGUUCAUGUCAGUAUUUCAAAUGCUUUUUGUUGGAUGGAUCACAACAGAGAUGGAAAAUUAGAUAGAGACAACAUGAGCCUUUCAAUAAUAAUUUUUUCUGACAUCUCCUGACCCUUCUCCAACACUGAAUAUUUCCAUCAGUUACCCCACAGGGCUCACUGCUUUUUCUUAGCCUAUUUCCAUUCACAUCCUGGCCCACGUCAAAUCCCCGAUGACUAAAACCUAGACCUAGUAAAUCUCAUAGUGAAGCACUGGCUAGCCUCUUGUCAUAUGAUAAACUGCACACGUGUUGUGUCUCCUGGAGUAAGUGGCAGUCUGUGAGCAGUGAACCAAAGGCUGGGAGAUGAGGUAAGGCAUGUCUGCACAGUUAUUGUAGAAGAGCAUUAAUAUCAGGGAGCUGAGACUGCAGCUGCCUGAUGAGAUUAUCUUCCUAGUUUUAAUAUCAGGAUAAGACAGUUGUUUCAUUUUACUACUUUACUACUUUUAAGUUGAUCAACAACAGCGGUACCACAAAAUUUUAAUCUCAGCUCCAUAAUCAAGGCUGUAAAACCUGUAGUUAUAAACAAAAAGUGUGAUGUUACUUUCUCUUUUGGCACCAUUUUAAGUUCUAACAUGUAAAAAUCCACAAGUUUUAUCAGACACUAAACAUUCUUCACAUCAGCUGAAGAAACAAGUGGAUUUAAGGGCUUUUAUUUCUGGUAUUUAUAGCUUGAUUUAGAAAGACGUACAGCUGUGUUGAUCCCAUCCAUGUUAGUCGCCAUUUUUCUGGCUCUGACACGAGAAGAUGACGAUCUCAUUCUUAGUCCCACCGACAGGUUUUGGGUUGUGUUUCCAACCAGGAAAACAUCUGUCAAGGAGCACACAGAAUUAGACAUUUUGGUGGCGAUUCAGAGGCCUGCAACCAAGUUUCCUAACUGUUUUGUAAAUUUAUCCUGCUCAAAUGAAAUCCUUGUCUAAACGUCGCUCCUCUGCAUACAGGUAGUGAUGAUACAAAACCACAAAACUCUCUCUCAAAGACCACUUCAUCAAGAAACAUCUGGACUCACAGAUGUGAUAAAUAUUUGUUUUACAUACUUAUGAACGGCUGUAACAUGAGCAGCAUUGCUUACGUACUUUGUACACAGUGGAUUAGAAAGUAUAAACACUAUACGUUACUUGAGUGCAUACAGUUUUCAACAAGAUAAAUAACAAGAUUUAGAUACAAGGCACCUGCACAUCCAUAAGACUAGACCAGAUAGUUAGCUAAUAACGCAGUACCCACCUUACCUAAAACAGAUUAGUGCAGGGAUGAUGUAUUUUUGUAGGUCACCCUGGUUCCUUUGACAAAAAGCCAAUGGGAUUUUUACAUUAGUGUUUGGAUUAUUGCAAAAAAUAAUUCAACAAAUUAAAAAAAAAAUUCAACAAAAGUUUGUGUUCAUCAGAUAAUCUUCACAAAUGAACACCACUGUUAUGAUUUUUGAAGCCUAAAUACAAUCACCAGAAGUGAAAAGCUGAUGUUAGGUUAUAAACCAACUACACCACUAAGCUUCCAACUGGUCAUUUCAUUUAGCUCUGAGCUCUUCUACAAAAGCCUUUCUUCUUAGAAAGUUAGUGAUAGUUUGAAAGAGCGAGUAGAAACACAAUGAGGCUUUAAGUAGAUCAGUUUUCAUCAAACCUCUGUAGCCUCAUUUAGCCACCGCCUUUUUAAGUCACAUAAAAGCUUUUUUAAAAAUCGCAAGUGGGGUGUUUUCUGAUGUAUUUUAUGUUGUAGAAUAAAACCUGAAAGUCUGGCCUAGACUGUAACAUCCCUGAUUCACAUUUAACUGCAUCACAUUCUCUACUUUUGCUAUCCAAUAAAGGCAUAAAUUGUACCUACAGCAUGUAACCGCCUCUGCAACCACAACUCUUACUGUUACUGUGUACAGAUUAGAAAAUAGCUGUAGAGCUGCAAGGUGGGUGGAUUUUUAACACUGAAGAGAGGCAAGCUAGCUGUUUCCAUUGUUUCCAGUCUUAAUGCUAAGCUAGGCUAAUUCUAGGCUAGGUGACUUCUGGUUUAAGCACCCUACUUAGCACAGACAUCAGAGAGUCUCAUUUAGCUUUUGAAAAGAAAGCAAAUAAGCAUAUUUCACCACACUUAUUCCCGUAAAAGCAAGUAUAUCCCUGAGCUUAAAGCAAAGUAAAUGUAGCGUGUGCAGUUAAGACAGGAUUUGAAUGCAUUAAGUCAAAUUUCUCAAGCUCUUCUCUUGUUGUCACGCGGAGGUGAUACUGUGUAAAGUGCAGCUUUAACGUAAACACCAAUCUGUAUUA